ACAUGCCUACAACAUAGAGUUAAUGCACCAGAUCCCAUUAGAAAUCUGCAGUUAAGCGCACUUGGGCUAAAGUAGUACUAGGAUGGGUGACCGCCUGAGAAGUAAUAAUGUUUUACAUGCC
rfam:Picea glauca, whole genome shotgun sequence.